GCUCUGGUGGCCUAAUGAUUAUAGUGCCCACCUCAGAUGCAGAUGGUCAUGUGUUCGAUCCCCAGUCGGGACA